AGUGGAAUUGCUGGGUCAUAUGGUAACUAUAUAUGUAAUUUUUUGAAGAACUGCCAAACUGUUUUCCAAAGCAGUUAUACCAUUUUGCAUCCCCACCAACAAU
rnacentral:pre_miRNA from 1 species